rnacentral:lncRNA from 1 species
AAAAUAAUCCUCUCCUAUCAAUCAGUAAUGUCCGUGCCAAUUUUACUCCUCCACCCCUAACGUCCCUCUUAUCCUCUCCUGUCAUAAAUAUCCUACACCAUAGCCACCAAAGAGGGAGGGAUACAUUCACUAUCAAUACAUAGAUACACAAGAAAUAAGUCGAUGAUCAUUUUAUUUCUCCAUAAAACAAGAAUAAACAAAACAACCAUCAUUGUGGACAGUAGCCCCAUGGGAACCAUCUUCAAAGCUCACCUAUAUUCCAAGUAAUUACCAUUUUGACAAGGUCUCUAACUCAAUGUUUCGGUCAAGGCAUUUUAAGUUUAUAAUUUUGGAGGUGUUGAUGUCGAGUUCCUUGACAUAAAGGUACAAUUCCUACCUUAUUAUUGAUUAAUACACAAAGCUUGGCGUUCUACCUCAUACAGUUAUUUAAAAUUUUAAAGGAGAAUUUAUUCCUAAAUGGCUAUGUUAAUUUUCUCUAGUAUGUAUGUUUUGGAUGCCAUUUUUGCUUCGGGAUAGUAUGACUUUCUUAUUUGAAACUGAAAUGGGGAAUUUAUUUUUGUAUACUCACUUGGUGUCGAUUAUGAGCAUUAAUAUUUAAUAUAGUUUAAAUGGCCAACAUGUCUAUAUUUGAUCCUAUCAUUAUCAAAGGGUUUAAUACAGUUUUUAGUACGCUUUGUCAGUUUGAUCUAAUUCUGUUUAUAGAUUAAUUAAUUCUUACCACUUUUGUUUCAUAUGGUCAAUUAAGGAGUUUGUCCUUACAGUAUGCAUAUUUUUGUCUCUUAUAUAAAAAGUUGAGUAGUUUUCUUCAUCUAUCAGUGUAAUCAUGUAUGUCUCUCUAUCAUUUGCUCUCCAUGUUUGCUUAUUUUCUAUAAAUUUGCCCGCAAUGUGUAUGUUUAGGGAUUAUCAGUUAAUGCUUGAACCACGACGAGUGGAGGAGUCAACGUGCGAAGGAGCUCAAAUGGAGUCGUCACCCCACCCCAUCAGGGAUCCGGUACAUUUUGGGAUAUGAUGACAAAGAUAUGCUAUAUCUGACUUCUUGUAUGAAGCGUAUAUGUAGCUUUAUUAAAAAUAAAGCACCUCGUUACUACCUUCUUUUCUUAUUUCAUAUGUCACUAUUUUAAACGUCUCAAAGACAUGACAACCUUUACUACUAUAUUACAACAACAUGCUUUGAUACAAUUUUUAUAUUAUAUCCACGUAUUAUUUACUUCACAUGACUUUUAAAUGCAAAAAUAAAUAAAUUAUUUAGUACUCUUAAAUAAGUCCCUUCAAGAAUUUCUUGGUUGACAUAAAUAUUGGAAUAGAGUGAGUAACAUCGCAUUGGGCCCGUUUCAACCUUAUCAUAGCUGAUCCACUCACAUUCUUUCUUAUCAUUUUACUUUAUGUAUGUACUAUUGAAUUACUUAUUUACUUUUGUUAAUUCAUCACCAAAUUGAGGUGACACAUAUAUUACUGACAAGUUUUACAUCAUUUAUAGUUUCUCCUUACUUUGACGUAAAUUCAAUUUACAGUUUAUCAUCUUCCAAAUUUGCCCUCAUGCUAAAAGCAAAGGAGCUCGCUAGAGUCCGUAAUCCGGGG